UACAGAGGUCUCAAGCGUUGUUCGGAUUCAUUGGGCGUAAAGGGCGCGUAGGCGGCCCGCUAAGUCGAACGUGAAAUCCCCGAGCUCAACUCGGGAACUGCGUCCGAUACUGGUGGGCUUGAAUCCGGGAGAGGGAUGCGGAAUCCAGGUGUAGCGGUGAAAUGACGCAGAUAUCAGGAGGAACACCGGUGGCGAAGACGGGUUGCUGGGCUGACACUGACGCUGAGGCGCGAAAGCCAGGGGAGCAAACGGG
rnacentral:rRNA from 1 species